GAUGAAGAACGUAGCGAAACGCGAUAAGUAAUGUGAAUUGCAGAAUCCAGUGAAUCAUCGAAUCUUUGAACGCACAUUGCGCCCGCCAGCAUUCUGGCGGGCAUGCCUGUUCGAGCGUCAUUUCAACCCUCGACCUCCCCUUGGGGAGGUCGGCGUUGGGGACCGGCAGCACACCGCCGGCCCUGAAAUGGAGUGGCGGCCCGUCCGCGGCGACCUCUGCGCAGUAAUACAGCUCGCACCGGGACCCCGACGCGGCCACGCCGUAAAACACCCAACUUCUGAACGUUGACCUCGAAUCAGGUAGGACUACCCGCUGAACUUAAGCAUCUCAAUAAGCGGAGGA
rnacentral:misc_RNA from 1 species